GACGAACGCUGGCGGCGUGCUUAACACAUGCCAGUCGAACGGAAAGGCCCUGCUUUUGUGGGGUGCUCGAGUGGCGAACGGGUGAGUAACACGUGAGUAACCUGCCCUUGACUUUGGGAUAACUUCAGGAAACUGGGGCUAAUACCCGAUAGGAGCUCCUGCUGCAUGGUGGGGGGUGGAAAGUUUCGGCGGUUGGGGAUGGACUGGCGGCUUAUCGGCUUGUUGGUGGGGUAGUGGCUUACCAGGGCUUUGACGGAUAGCCGGCCUGAGAGGGUGACCGGCCACAUUGGGACUGAGAUACGGCCCAGUGUCCUACGGGAGGCAGCGGUGGGGAAUAUUGCACAAUGGGCGGAAGCCUGAUGCAGCAACGCCGCGUGCGGGAUGACGGCCUUCGGGUUGUAAACCGCUUCCGCCUGUGACGAAGCGUGAGUGACGGUAAUGGGUAAAGAAGCACCGGCUAACUACGUG
rnacentral:rRNA from 1 species